rnacentral:snRNA from 1 species
CUACAUACCUGUCAGGGGAGAUACCAUGAUCAUGAAGGUGCUUUUCCCAGGGCGGGGCUUAUCCAUUGCACUCCAGAUGUGCAGACCCCUGCGAUUUCCCCAGUGUGAGAAACUUGACUGCAUAAUUUGUGGUAGUAGGGGACUGCGUUCGUGCUCUCCCCCA